AACUCUGGUUUCACUACAGUCACGAAAAAAUCUUUCGCCUUUUACUAAAGAUUUCCGUUAUUAUUAACAUUCGUUAACGACAAGGUCAUAGCUGAUAUUUUUGAAAAAUUUGGAACUGUU